rnacentral:rRNA from 1 species
CAGUAGCCGCGGUAAUACGAACCGUGCGAACGUUAUUCGGAAUCACUGGGCUUAAAGCGCGUGUAGGCGGAUGGGAACGUCGGUCGUUGAAAUCCCCCGGCUUAACCGGGGAAGUGGCGCCGAUACGACCCGUCUGGAGGAACGCAGGGGGAGCUGGAACUUCCGGUGGAGCGGUGAAAUGCGUUGAGAUCGGAAGGAACGCCCGUGGCGAAAGCGAGCUCCUGGACGUUUUCUGACGCUGAGGCGCGAAAGCGUGGGGAGCAAACCGGAUUAGAUACCCCCGUAGUCCCUGUCUCUUAUU